CUCAAGCUCUUCUCCUACCGCGACGUCAACUCAUGGUGCCGCAGGGCCAGGGCCAAGGCUGCCUCUGCAGGGAAGAAGGCCAGCAGUGCUGCUGCCCCGCACACCGUGAGCUACCCGGACAAUCUGACCUACCGCGAUCUCUACUACUUCCUCUUCGCCCCCACCUUGUGCUACGAGCUCAACUUUCCCCGCUCUCCCCGCAUCCGGAAGCGCUUUCUGCUGCGACGGAUCCUUGAGAUGCUGUUCUUCACCCAGCUCCAGGUGGGGCUGAUCCAGCAGUGGAUGGUCCCCACCAUCCAGAACUCCAUGAAGCCCUUCAAGGACAUGGACUACUCACGCAUCAUCGAGCGCCUCCUGAAGCUGGCGACACUUCUACAAGCCCAUGCUUCGACGGGGCAGCA
rnacentral:lncRNA from 10 species